GUGAGGAAUAUUGCGCAAUGGAGGCAACUCUGACGCAGCCAUGCCGCGUGCAGGAAGAAGGCGCUACGCGUUGUAAACUGCUUUUAACCGGGAAGAAACCCCAGGACGUGUCCUGGGUUGACGGUACCGGAGGAAUAAGCACCGGCUAACUUCGUGCCAGCAGCCGCGGUAAUACGAAGGGUGCAAGCGUUAUCCGGAUUCAUUGGGUUUAAAGGGUGCGUAGGCGGAGCGUUAAGUCAGUGGUGAAAUCCUGCAGCUUAACUGUAGACUUGCCAUUGGUACUGGCGCUCUUGAGUGCGCUUGAAGUGGGCGGAAUGUGCCGUGUAGCGGUGAAAUGCUUAGAUAUGGCACAGAACACCAAUUGCGAAGGCAGCUCACUAAGGCGAUACUGACGCUGAGGCACGAAAGCGUGGGGAUCGAACAGGAUUAGAAACCCGUGUAGUCC
rnacentral:rRNA from 1 species